AGGCUGAUCAACUUGAUGUCAAAAAUUAAAUUCAGUAACUUAUAUUUUGACUUACAGAUAGUCAAUCAGCGUGAGGCAGCCAGUAGCAACAUCUUCAGGCAGAAGGAGUUUAAUCUUCAAUCACUUGGUAUAGGUGGUCUAAGUGCAGAGUUUGCAGAUAUAUUUCGAAGAGCCUUUGCUUCGCGUGUUUUCCCUCCCCAUGUGACAAAUAAAUUGGGGAUUAAGCAUGUGAAGGGUAUGCUGCUUUAUGGGCCUCCUGGUACUGGCAAAACACUUAUGGCUCGUCAAAUUGGAAAAAUGUUGAAUGGAAGGGAACCAAAGAUUGUUAACGGCCCUGAAGUUUUGAACAAAUACCUUGGUGAAACUGAAAAGAAUGUUAGGGAUCUAUUUGCUGAUGCUGAGAAUGAUCAAAGAGCUCGAGGGGACCAAAGUGAUCUGCAUGUCAUAAUUUUUGAUGAAAUUGAUGCUAUUUGUAAGUCAAGAGGUUCAACUAGAGAUUGUACAGGUGUUCGUGACAGUAUUGUGAACCAGCUUCUUACAAAGAUUGAUGGUGUGGAGUCUUUAAAUAAUGUCUUGCUUAUUGGAAUGACAAACAGAAAAGAUUUACUUGAUGAGGCCCUUUUAAGACCAGGCCGCUUGGAGGUUCAAAUUGAGAUAAGCCUUCCUGAUGAGAAUGGUCGCUUAUAGAUUCUUCAAAUUCAUACAAACAAGAUGAAAGAGAGUUCUUUUCUUGCUCCUGAUGUGAACCUUCAAGAGCUUGCUGCUCGUACGAAAAACUAUAGUGGUGCCGAACUUGAAGGUGUUGUAAAAAGUGCAGUAUCUUAUGCUUUGAAUAGACAACUAAGUCUUGAUGAUCUCACCAAGCCAGUGGAUGAAGAGAGUAUUAAAGUUACCAUGGAUGAUUUUUUGAAUGCACUCCACGAAAUAAUUCCUGCAUUUGGAGCCUCCACUGAUGACCUUGAGCGGUGCAGACUGAAUGGCAUGGUGGACUGUGGUGAUCAAAAUAAGCACAUUUAUCAAAGAGCUAUGCUACUUGUGGAGCAAGUUAAAGUGAGUAAAGGAAGUCCGCUUGUUACUUGUCUUCUGGAAGGCCCAAGUGGCAGUGGUAAAACCGCACUAGCAGCUACUGUUGGCAUUGACAGUGAUUUUCCAUAUGUCAAGAUAGUCUCAGCAGAAUCAAUGAUUGGUCUUCACGAAAGCACUAAGUGUGCACAGAUUGUCAAGGUAUUUGAGGAUGCAUACAAGUCACCGCUGAGCAUCAUCGUUCUUGAUGACAUUGAAAGGUUAUUGGAGUAUGUUGCCAUUGGGCCUCGUUUUUCAAAUAUAAUCUCUCAGACACUACUGGUCCUACUCAAGCGGCUUCCUCCAAAGGGGAAGAAACUUAUGGUCAUAGGGACAACAAGUGAGCAGACAGUGUUGUAAAGGUAGCGUAACAACUUUAAACGUGGAUGUGCUUGAGCAGACAGUGUUGCCUCUUCAAAAUCAGCUUCUUACCCAUCUUGAAUCAAUGAAUCCGCUUCAACACGAGUCCAUGACAUAGGUGGUGGAAUCUACUUUUAUCGUUUUGGAUCGUCUAUUAGUUAAUUAUACACCUUUUCAAGAGCGUGUGAAGGAGUUCAUUGCCUGUGCAUCAUCAUUUGCUGAUAUAGAGUAGUCCAUCAACAACAAACAUUCUUUUGAAGAGUUGAUGGAGCGGUACCAUAGUGAGAAAGUAAGGUAUAUAAGCAAAGUGGCUACUAUAAGCAACAAUAGUGUAGCUGUGUAGCAUCUAUCCAUUUUGGCUAUAUAAUUUGAUUGUUUUUUAUAUGUAAUUUGUCACUUUGUUCCAUCCUUGGUUAAAUGGAUUGGAUUUAGCUAGAUCUUAUGUAUGAUCGUAUAGCCUCUUCAUAAUCAGUAUGUUGGUUUGCGUAAUGCUUUGUAUGUGAAUUGCAUAGCUUGUACAAGGAUUUUUCUAUGUACAGCUUUUAAAUUA